AAUUAGGUCUCGUAAUUGGAAUGAGAACAAUUUAAAUACCUUAACGAGGAACAAUUAGAGGGCAAGUCUGGUGCCAGCAGCCGCGGUAAUUCCAGCUCUGAUAGUAUAUAUUAAAGUUGUUGCAGUUAAAAAGCUCGUAGUUGAAACUUGGGUGCGUAGGGGCGGUCUCUUUUAGAGUACUACCCUGAAACAUCUUUCUUUGGUGCAAACUCUUUAUUCACUUAAGGAGUGUAAACCAAACAUUUACUUUGAAAAAAUUAGAGUGUUCAAAGCAGGCCUUUGCUCGAAUAUAUUAGCAUGGAAUAAUAGAAUAGGACGUAUGGUUCUAUUUUGUUGGUUUCUAGGACCGUCGUAAUGAUUAAUAGGGACGGUUGGGGGCAUCAGUAUUCAGUUGUUAGAGGUGAAAUUCUUGGAUUUACUGAAGACUAACUACUGCGAAAGCAUUUGCCAAGGACGUUUUCAUUAAUCAAGAACGAAAGUUAGGGGAUCGAAGACGAUCAGAUACCGUCGUAGUCUUAACCGUAAACUAUGCCGACUAGGGAUCGGAGGGCGUUAUAAUAACCUCUCCGGCACCUUACGAGAAAUCAAAGUUUUUGGGUUCUGGGGGGAGUAUGGUUGCAAGGCUGAAACUUAAAGGAAUUGACGGAAGGGCACCACCAGGAGUGGAGCCUGCGGCUUAAUUUGACCCAACACGGGGAAACUCACCAGGUCCAGACACAAUAAGGAUUGACAGAUUGAGAGCUCUUUCAUGAUUUUGUGGGUGGUGGUGCAUGGCCGUUCUUAGUUGGUGGAGUGAUUUGUCUGCUUAAUUGCGAUAACGAACGAGACCUUAACCUGCUAAAUAGCUGUAACAAUAGAUUAUUGUUUUGACAGCUUCUUAGAGGGACUAUCGAUUUUCAAGUCGAUGGAAGUUUGAGGCAAUAACAGGUCUGUGAUGCCCUUAGACGUUCUGGGCCGCACGCGCGCUACACUGACGGAGCCAGCGAGUCUAACCUGUGCCGAGAGGUAUGGGUAAUCUUGUGAAACUCCGUCGUGCUGGGGAUGGAGCAUUGCAAUUAUUGCUCUUCAACGAGGAAUUCCUAGUAAGCGCAAGUCAUCAGCUUGCGUUGAUUACGUCCCUGCCCUUUGUACACACCGCCCGUCGCUACUACCGAUUGAAUGGCUUAGUGAGGCUUCCGGAUUGAUUAACUGGAGAGGGCAACUUUUCUGGUUGAACGAGAAGCUAGUCAAACUUGGUCAUUUAGG
rnacentral:rRNA from 1 species